UGGAGGUUUGUUUAGAGUCCAAAGAUUACACAGCCUAAGAUUGAAUAGGAGACUAUUACCAUGUGAGAGAUGCUGACUUUUAUCUAUGCUCCGCUGUCAAAAUCAGAAUCCAAGAUUAGGUGAUGGUUAGAGGUUGCCAUGACAGAAUUUCCAGUGUCGAGGGUGGUGAGCAAACUGGAGAUCCUUCUCGCUGCAGAUGAAGAAGGACGCCAAAAGCGUUCAGGAUCACUCCACUUGCCUUUCCUCGGGUCCUCUUCCUCGGAAUUGGUCUUCAACCAACGUGCACAUUUUCUCAUACCACAAGCGUUACAUCAUUCAGAACGGUUU